UCUCCCUACGGGAGGCAGCAGUGGGGAAUAUUGCACAAUGGGGGAAACCCUGAUGCAGCGACGCCGCGUGAGUGAAGAAGUAUUUCGGUAUGUAAAGCUCUAUCAGCAGGGAAGAAAAUGACGGUACCUGACUAAGAGGCCCCGGCUAACUACGUGCCAGCAGCCGCGGUAAUACGUAGGGGGCAAGCGUUAUCCGGAUUUACUGGGUGUAAAGGAAGCGUAGGGGGCAUGGUAAGCCAGAAGUGAAAACACGGGGCUCAACCCCGCGGAUGGCUUUUGGAACUAUCAGGCUGGAGUGCUGGAGG
rnacentral:rRNA from 1 species